CCUACGGGUGGCAGCAGUGGGGAAUAUUGCGCAAUGGGCGCAAGCCUGACGCAGCGACGCCGCGUGAGGGAUGAAGGUCUUCGGAUCGUAAACCUCUGUCAGCAGGGAAGAACGGUCACUGUUCUAAUCAGCAGUGAAUUGACGGUACCUGCAAAGGACGCACCGGCUAACUCCGUGCCAGCAGCCGCGGUCAUACGUAGGGUGCGUUCGUUAAUCGGAAUUACUUGGCGUAAAGCGAUCGUAGGCGGUAUGUCAAGUCAAGGGUGAAAUCCCCGCGCUCCACAUGGGAACUGCCGUUGAAACUGGCAAACUGGAGUGGGUGAGAGGAUAGUGGAA
rnacentral:rRNA from 1 species